GCCUCUCCCCUCGAAUCCUAGUAAAAGGCAAAAUUCUACUUUACGAGAUUAGUGGUACAAACCAGUUUAAUUAUCCUCUACUGGCCCUCAGUGGCCUUCCAUGCAUGACAAAAGCCUUUGCCGACCAUAGCCAAAAUAUCAAAGGUUUCAUCAUGGCACUCAAGGCCUUCACUUCCUCAAACCUUUUUCCAUCAACCAAUGGCCCUCCUUCCUUA
rnacentral:lncRNA from 1 species